GUUUGUUCGUUAGGUGAAAAAGAUGCGUAAAAUUGCAAAUUCUUUAAAAAGUUAUAAAGUAUUAUUAAAAUUAUAUGUUAUAGUGAUGUAAAGUUAAUUAAAGUGUGUAUUAUUGUAAAUGUAAAAGCAUUCUAGUCAAAUAAUUUAUAAAAAGUGUGUAAAAAGUGAAAAGUGUUAAAGAAAAGUGAUAUUUUUUAGCAGCACAAAGUGUUAAAUUAUAGAUCAUAAAUCAUCUGUGUGGAUGCACUUGAAAAGGUUUUUAAAUAUGGCCAAAUAUAAAUAAGUAGAUUUUGCAACAAGUUGUAGAAAAGAAACACAUUUUGUAAGAAAUAAUAAAUUUCUUUUAAAACGAAAUUACAUCAAAUAUGCAUAGACAUCUAAAUUUUGUAUAUUUGUGCGACGAAAAAAAAAAAAAAAAUACGAGUAGAAGUCAAAAUAUAAAAAAAAAAAAAUGAAAUACACAAA